GUGUGCUUACAAGUAGUCAGAGCCCGUUAAUGGGUGAUGGCGUGCCUUUUGUAGAAUGAACCGGCGAGUUACGAUUUGAUGCAAGGUUAAGCAGUAAAUGUGGAGCCGUAGCGAAAGCGAGUCUGAAUAGGGCGUUUAGUAUUUGGUCGUAGACCCGAAACCAGGUGAUCUACCCUUGGUCAGGUUGAAGUUCAGGUAACACUGAAUGGAGGACCGAACCGACUUACGUUGAAAAGUGAGCGGAUGAACUGAGGGUAGCGGAGAAAUUCCAAUCGAACCUGGAGAUAGCUGGUUCUCUCCGAAAUAGCUUUAGGGCUAGCCUCAAGUGAUGAUUAUUGGAGGUAGAGCACUGUUUGGACGAGGGGCCCCUCUCGGGUUACCGAAUUCAGACAAACUCCGAAUGCCAAUUAAUUUAACUUGGGAGUCAGAACAUGGGUGAUAAGGUCCGUGUUCGAAAGGGAAACAGCCCAGACCACCAGCUAAGGUCCCAAAAUAUAUGUUAAGUGGAAAAGGAUGUGGCGUUGCCCAGACAACUAGGAUGUUGGCUUAGAAGCAGCCAUCAUUUAAAGAGUGCGUAAUAGCUCACUAGUCGAGUGACACUGCGCCGAAAAUGUACCGGGGCUAAACAUAUUACCGAAGCUGUGGAUUGUCCUUUGGACAAUGGUAGGAGAGCGUUCUAAGGGCGUUGAAGCAUGAUCGUAAGGACAUGUGGAGCGCUUAGAAGUGAGAAUGCCGGUGUGAGUAGCGAAAGACGGGUGAGAAUCCCGUCCACCGAUUGACUAAGGUUUCCAGAGGAAGGCUCGUCCGCUCUGGGUUAGUCGGGUCCUAAGCUGAGGCCGACAGGCGUAGGCGAUGGAUAACAGGUUGAUAUUCCUGUACCACCUAUAAUCGUUUUAAUCGAUGGGGGGACGCAGUAGGAUAGGCGAAGCGUGCGAUUGGAUUGCACGUCUAAGCAGUAAGGCUGAGUAUUAGGCAAAUCCGGUACUCAUUAAGGCUGAGCUGUGAUGGGGAGAAGACAUUGUGUCUUCGAGUCGUUGAUUUCACACUGCCGAGAAAAGCCUCUAGAUAGAAAAUAGGUGCCCGUACCGCAAACCGACACAGGUAGUCAAGAUGAGAAUUCUAAGGUGAGCGAGCGAACUCUCGUUAAGGAACUCGGCAAAAUGACCCCGUAACUUCGGGAGAAGGGGUGCUCUUUAGGGUUAACGCCCAGAAGAGCCGCAGUGAAUAGGCCCAAGCGACUGUUUAUCAAAAACACAGGUCUCUGCUAAACCGUAAGGUGAUGUAUAGGGGCUGACGCCUGCCCGGUGCUGGAAGGUUAAGAGGAGUGGUUAGCUUCUGCGAAGCUACGAAUCGAAGCCCCAGUAAACGGCGGCCGUAACUAUAACGGUCCUAAGGUAGCGAAAUUCCUUGUCGGGUAAGUUCCGACCCGCACGAAAGGCGUAACGAUUUGGGCACUGUCUCAACGAGAGACUCGGUGAAAUCAUAGUACCUGUGAAGAUGCAGGUUACCCGCGACAGGACGGAAAGACCCCGUGGAGCUUUACUGUAGCCUGAUAUUGAAAUUCGGCACAGCUUGUACAGGAUAGGUAGGAGCCUUUGAAACGUGAGCGCUAGCUUACGUGGAGGCGCUGGUGGGAUACUACCCUAGCUGUGUUGGCUUUCUAACCCGCACCACUUAUCGUGGUGGGAGACAGUGUCAGGCGGGCAGUUUGACUGGGGCGGUCGCCUCCUAAAAGGUAACGGAGGCGCUCAAAGGUUCCCUCAGAAUGGUUGGAAAUCAUUCAUAGAGUGUAAAGGCAUAAGGGAGCUUGACUGCGAGACCUACAAGUCGAGCAGGGUCGAAAGACGGACUUAGUGAUCCGGUGGUUCCGCAUGGAAGGGCCAUCGCUCAACGGAUAAAAGCUACCCCGGGGAUAACAGGCUUAUCUCCCCCAAGAGUUCACAUCGACGGGGAGGUUUGGCACCUCGAUGUCGGCUCAUCGCAUCCUGGGGCUGUAGUCGGUCCCAAGGGUUGGGCUGUUCGCCCAUUAAAGCGGUACGCGAGCUGGGUUCAGAACGUCGUGAGACAGUUCGGUCCCUAUCCGUCGUGGGCGUAGGAAAUUUGAGAGGAGCUGUCCUUAGUACGAGAGGACCGGGAUGGACAUACCUCUGGUGUACCAGUUGUCGUGCCAACGGCAUAGCUGGGUAGCUAUGUGUGGACGGGAUAAGUGCUGAAAGCAUCUAAGCAUGAAGCCCCCCUCAAGAUGAGAUUUCCCAACUUCGGUUAUAAGAUCCCUCAAAGAUGAUGAGGUUAAUAGGUUCGAGGUGGAAGCAUGGUGACAUGUGGAGCUGACGAAUACUAA
rnacentral:rRNA from 1 species